rnacentral:rRNA from 1 species
UACGAAGGGGGCUAGCGUUGUUCGGAAUUACUGGGCGUAAAGCGUGCGUAGACGGCUAUCUAAGUCGGGUGUGAAAGCCCCGGGCUCAACCUGGGAAUUGCAUUCGAGACUGAAUAGCUAGGGUGCGGUAGAGGGAAGCGGAAUUUCCGGUGUAGCGGUGAAAUGCGUAGAUAUCGGAAGGAACAUCAGUGGCGAAAGCGGCUUCCUGGACCAGCACUGACGUUCAGGCACGAAAGCGUGGGGAGCAAACAGG